AGAGGUUUUGAUAAACCUGACUCUUCUCUCUGUGAGGCCGACUCUUCUGUUCCUGUCGUCUCAGGGAACAAAACACAGACGGAUAAACACACGGUCGACCCUGCAGAGGAUGGGUUCUACGCCUCCAUCAGCCACGCCCCUCACAGCGCGGCCCAGAUCCAGGGUGGUGAUGAUGCAGUGACCUACAGCACUGUGAAAGCUCCCUCCUCUUCUACUGGACCCUCAGCUGAUCCCAGCAGCCUCUAUGAGAACGUCACAAUCAUACAAUAGUAGAGUCACAUUUGACAUCGAUAUAUUUAUAUCAGGAAUCAUUUGUUAAAACUUUCUACUGUGAAAACAAAGUCACUCGUAAUAAUGUGAUUCUCAUUAGAUAGAAAAGAAACAAAGGUGGGAACAUUCCCAGAUGAAACUUUGAUUUAGUUUAAACUUCUGCCAAGGCCCGACAGUCUGUAAAGUUUGAUAUAAAAAGUCACUUUUAUUGUGUGGACUGGAUUUAACCAGUUUUCAGCCAUUUUAUUGAUUCUUGAAGUUUAUCGUCCAAAACCUUUAAUAUUUGAUCCUGUAUCUUCAUGUUCUUCUGAUCCAGCUGUUAUUCUUAUACAUUACAAUGGUGACGUGUUAUUUGUAAGAAAAUUGUACUUUCUUGAUUCUUCCUGUUCUGGGUUUGUACCUCAGGGUUGAUGCACUUAUUGUAAGUUGCU